GGAUUGGAAUUUUAUGAUCUGGUUAGCUUCGUUGGGUGGUUUAUGACUUAGGAGCGUGAUCGAAAGUGGUUUUGGAAGUCCGGUGUAGAAAUUGGCUUAUUUUGGCGAAGUUAGUAUUUUGGCGAUUUCCGGUUGGUAGGUGAGAUUUUGAUCCGAGUGUCGGAAUAGAAUUUGAGAGUGACAGUAGCUUCGUUAGGUAAUUUGGUAUGUGUGUGUAAAAUUUCAGGUCAUUCGGAGGUGACAUUGGUUGGGUUUUUUAUCAAAUGCGUGUUUCGGAGGUUUUAGAAGAACUUAGGCUUGAAUUCGCUGUAAUUUGAUAGUUUUGGUAUUGUUUGGGGUGUUUUGGUGAUUGAAACAAGUUUGGAUAAUAUUUUAGGAUGAAUUGGUGCUUUUGGUUGAGGUCGCGAGGGCCUCAGGGUGAUUUCGGAUGGCUAACGGAAAGUUUGGAAUUGAAAAAUAUAGUUGAAAUGCAGCAGUUAUUGCAGAGUAUUUUUGGUCUUCGCGAUCGCAUAGAAGGAUUUGGGUAGGCCUGAGGUUUUGUCUUCGUGUUCACGGUUGGAGCUUCGCGUUUGUGGAUGGUGAGUUCUUGGUGCUUCACGUUCGCAUGAUACCGUCCGCGUUCGCAUAAGAGGAUUUGAGGGUCAGGGGCCAUUGCCCUUCACGUUUGUGGCUUGGAGUUCGUGUUCGCGUAGUUGGAGGAAAGCAGUCAUCGCGUUCACAGGCCUAAGGUCGCGUUCGCAUAUCACAUUUUGAGGUCUU
rnacentral:lncRNA from 1 species